rnacentral:rRNA from 1 species
UACGGAGGAUGCGAGCGUUAUCCGGAUUUAUUGGGUUUAAAGGGUGCGUGGGCGGGUUGUUAAGUCAGCGGUGAAAGUUUGCGGCUCAACCGUAAAAUUGCCGUUGAAACUGGCGGUCUUGAGUUCAGACGCGGUAGGCGGAAUGUAAUGUGUAGCGGUGAAAUGCAUAGAUAUGUUACAGAACUCCGAUUGCGAAGGCAGCUUACCAGACUGAGACUGACGCUGAGGCACGAAAGCGUGGGUAUCGAAC